CAAGGACUCGGGUGAAACUCCCGGGUGGCUCUUCCGGCCGCCGAUCCGCCGGACAACG
rnacentral:ncRNA from 1 species